GACGAACGCUGGCGGCGUGCUUAACACAUGCAAGUCGAACGGAAAGGCCCUGCUUUUGUGGGGUGCUCGAGUGGCGAACGGGUGAGUAACACGUGAGUAACCUGCCCUUGACUUUGGGAUAACUUCAGGAAACUGGGGCUAAUACCGGAUAGGAGCUCCUGCUGCAUGGUGGGGGUUGGAAAGUUUCGGCGGUUGGGGAUGGACUCGCGGCUUAUCAGCUUGUUGGUGGGGUAGUGGCUCACCAAGGCUUUGACGGGUAGCCGGCCUGAGAGGGUGACCGGCCACAUUGGGACUGAGAUACGGCCCAGACUCCUACGGGAGGCAGCAGUGGGGAAUAUUGCACAAUGGGCGGAAGCCUGAUGCAGCAACGCCGCGUGCGGGAUGACGGCCCUCGGGUUGUAAACCGCUUUCGCCUGUGACGAAGCGUGAGUGACGGUAAUGGGUAAAGAAGCACCGGCUAACUACGUG
rnacentral:rRNA from 1 species